GUCAUGAUAACAACAUAAUUGUAGUUACACCCUUCCAAGGCUAUAUUCCUCCGAUUCAAAGUUCUUCCUUCAAAGUUUGUGUAGCAAAGGAUGUAAAAUGAAGGCCACUUUGAUCUUGUCACUGUUUGUUCUUUCUGGCGUUUUUAAGACUACACCUGCAGUCAACAAAAGGCUGAGGCAUACCAUGGACUUGCCUUGGUCACGUUUCAUGAAAGGCCUCGCCCGUCAUCAGGAUCAUAGAGAUGUUUCGCUCCCCCGGCAUGUGUCGAAUCCUUCGUGGUCGCGUAUGAUAAUGAAUUCUUUCCAUGACCCGAGAGCGUUACCCCAUUGCUGCGACAAACCACCAUACCACUGUUGGUGUUGCCAAACUGGGUGCAAUCUUCAGUAAAAGGCUGUUAAGGAUGAAAAGUCGUCGCAACAAUACGACGAUUACCAUCUUCCAUCAUUUCAUGAAAGCUGAGAUAAACUCACCAAAGCUUUAUCUCUCAAGGUGUAACAUCAUUUUGAUAUUAAAUGGAAAAAUAUGGUUUCCUCCGUUGCCUUUCUGAAA